rnacentral:rRNA from 1 species
AGCGAACGCUGGCGGCGUGCCUAACACAUGCAAGUCGAGCGCGAAAGUCCCUUCGGGGGCGAGUAGAGCGGCGGACGGGUGAGUAAUACAUAGGUAAUCUACCUUCGAGCUUGGGAUAACCCCGCGAAAGUGGGGCUAAUACCGGAUAAGACCACGUAACCAUGUUACGGGGGAAAAGGUGGCUUAUUUUUUAAAUGAGACAUCACUUAAGGAUGAGCCUGUGGCCUAUCAGCUAAUUGGCGGGGUAAGAGGCCACCAAGGCUAUGACGGGUAGCUAGUCUGAGAGGAUGAUCAGCAACACUGGGACUGAGACACGGCCCAGACUCCUACGGGAGGCAGCAGUGGGGAAUAUUGGACAAUGGGGGCAACCCUGAUCCAGCAAUGCCGCGUGUGUGAAGAAGGCCUGCGGGUUGUAAAGCACUUUUGUCCGGGAAGAAAGGACCUGACCUAAUACGUUGGGGGGAUGACGGUACCGGAAGAAUAAGCACCGGCUAACUUCGUGCCAGCCGCCGCGGUAACAC